rnacentral:rRNA from 1 species
GAUAAACGCUGGCGGCGUGCCUAAUGCAUGCAAGUCGAACGGGUCAAGCGCAAGCUUGGCGAGUGGCGGACGGGUGCGGAACACGUACGAGACCUGCCCAUCGAAGGGGAAUACCCCCGCGAAAGUGGGGCUAAUGCCGCAUACGGUCCUCAGCAGCAAGGCUGGGGAGGAAAGCCUUCGGGCGUCGAUGGAGGGGCGUGCGGCCGAUUAGCUAGUUGGUGGGGUAAAGGCCUACCAAGGCUGCGAUCGGUAGCUGGUCUGAGAGGAUGGUCAGCCACACUGGGACUGAGACACGGCCCAGACUCCUACGGGAGGCAGCAGCAGGGAAUCUUGCGCAAUGGGCGAAAGCCUGACGCAGCAACGCCGCGUGGGUGAGGAAGGCCUGG